rnacentral:rRNA from 1 species
AUACGGAGGAUCCAAGCGUUAUCCGGAAUCAUAGGGUUUAAAGGGUCCGUAGGCGGGUUUGUAAGUCAGUGGUGAAAGUUUUCGGCUCAACCGGAAAAUUGCCAUUGAUACUGCAAGUCUUGAAUCAUUAUGAAGUGGUUAGAAUGUGUAGUGUAGCGGUGAAAUGCAUAGAUAUUACAUAGAAUACCGAUUGCGAAGGCAGAUCACUAAUAAUGUAUUGACGCUAAGGGACGAAAGCGUGGGUAGCGAACAGGAUUAGAAACCCUAGUAGUCC